rnacentral:rRNA from 1 species
UACGGAGGGUGCAAACGUUGCUCGGAAUCAUUGGGCGUAAAGCGCACGUAGGCGGACCGCUAAGUCGGAUGUGAAAGCCCUCGGCUUAACCGAGGAAGUGCAUUCGAAACUGACAGUCUUGAGUAUGGAAGAGGGUCGCGGAAUUCCCGGUGUAGAGGUGAAAUUCGUAGAUAUCGGGAGGAACACCAGUGGCGAAGGCGGCGACCUGGGCCAAUACGUGACGCUGAGGUGCGAAAGCGUGGGGAGCAAACAGG